CAGAGGGGGCAAGCGUUAUUCGGAAUUAUUGGGCGUAAAGGGCGCGUAGGCGGCUUUUCAAGUGACGGGUGAAAUCCCUCGGCUUAACCGAGGAACUGCCUGUCAGACUGGAAGGCUUGAGACCGGGAGAGGUGAGUGGAAUUCCCAGUGUAGCGGUGAAAUGCGUAGAUAUUGGGAGGAACACCAGUGGCGAAGGCGGCUCACUGGACCGGAACUGACGCUGAGGCGCGAAAGCGUGGGGAGCAAACAGGAUUAGAUACCUUGGUAGUCCACGCCGUAAACGAUGAGUGCUUGGUGUAGCGGGUAUCGACCCCUGCUGUGCCGAAGUCAACACAUUAAGCACUCCGCCUGGGGAGUACGGUCGCAAGACUG
rnacentral:rRNA from 1 species